AUUGAACGCUGGCGGCAUGCCUUACACAUGCAAGUCGAACGGCAGCACGGGUGCUUGCACCUGGUGGCGAGUGGCGAACGGGUGAGUAAUACAUCGGAACAUGUCCUGUAGUGGGGGAUAGCCCGGCGAAAGCCGGAUUAAUACCGCAUACGAUCUACGGAUGAAAGCGGGGGACCUUCGGGCCUCGCGCUAUAGGGUUGGCCGAUGGCUGAUUAGCUAGUUGGUGGGGUAAAGGCCUACCAAGGCGACGAUCAGUAGCUGGUCUGAGAGGACGACCAGCCACACGGGGAGUGAGACACGGCCCAGACUCCUACGGGAGGCAGCAGUGGGGAAUUUUGGACAAUGGGCGAAAGCAUGAUCCAGCAAUGCCGCGUGUGUGAAGAAGGCCUUCGGGUUGUAAAGCACUUUUGUCCGGAAAGAAAUCCUUUGCCCUAAUACGGUCGGGGGAUGACGGUACCGGAAGAAUAAGCACCGGCUAACUACGUG
rnacentral:rRNA from 1 species